rnacentral:rRNA from 1 species
UGCAGUCGUACGCUUCUUUUUCACCGGAGCUUGCUCCCCGGAAAAAGAGGAGUGGCGAACGGGUGAGUAACACGUGGGUAACCUGCCCAUCAGAAGGGGAUAACACUUGGAAACAGGUGCUAAUACCGUAUAACAAUCGAAACCGCAUGGUUUUGAUUUGAAAGGCGCUUUCGGGUGUCGCUGAUGGAUGGACCCGCGGUGCAUUAGCUAGUUGGUGAGGUAACGGCUCACCAAGGCCACGAUGCAUAGCCGACCUGAGAGGGUGAUCGGCCACAUUGGGACUGAGACACGGCCCAAACUCCUACGGGAGGCAGCAGUAGGGAAUCUUCGGCAAUGGACGAAAGUCUGACCGAGCAACGCCGCGUGAGUGAAGAAGGUUUUCGGAUCGUAAAACUCUGUUGUUAGAGAAGAACAAGGAUGAGAGUAACUGUUCAUCCCUUGACGGUAUCUAACCAGAAAGCCACGGCUAACUACGUGCCAGCAGCCGCGGUAAUACGUAGGUGGCAAGCGUUGUCCGGAUUUAUUGGGCGUAAAGCGAGCGCAGGCGGUUUCUUAAGUCUGAUGUGAAAGCCCCCGGCUCAACCGGGGAGGGUCAUUGGAAACUGGGAGACUUGAGUGCAGAAGAGGAGAGUGGAAUUCCAUGUGUAGCGGUGAAAUGCGUAGAUAUAUGGAGGAACACCAGUGGCGAAGGCGGCUCUCUGGUCUGUAACUGACGCUGAGGCUCGAAAGCGU